UGCCAGCCGCCGCAGUAAUACGGAGGGGGCUAGCGUUGUUCGGAAUUACUGGGCGUAAAGCGCACGUAGGCGGAUCGGUUAGUUAGAGGUGAAAUCCCAGGGCUCAACCCUGGAACUGCCUCUAAUACUGCUAGUCUUGAGUUCGGGAGAGGUGAGCGGAAUUCCGAGUGUAGAGGUGAAAUUCGUAGAUAUUCGGAGGAACACCAGAGGCGAAGGCGGCUCAUUGGACCGAUACUGACGCUGAGGAGCGAAAGCGUGGGGAGCAAACAGGAUUAGAUA
rnacentral:rRNA from 1 species